UACACUCCUGCGGGAGGCAGCAGUGGGGAAUAUUGGACAAUGGGCGCAAGCCUGAUCCAGCCAUGCCGCGUGAGUGAUGAAGGCCCUAGGGUUGUAAAGCUCUUUCACCGGUGAAGAUAAUGACGGUAACCGGAGAAGAAGCCCCGGCUAACUUCGUGCCAGCAGCCGCGGUAAUACGAAGGGGGCUAGCGUUGUUCGGAUUUACUGGGCGUAAAGCGCACGUAGGCGGACUAUUAAGUCAGGGGUGAAAUCCCGGGGCUCAACCCCGGAACUGCCUUUGAUACUGGUAGUCUUGAGUUCGAGAGAGGUGAGUGGAAUUCCGAGUGUAGAGGUGAAAUUCGUAGAUAUUCGGAGGAACACCAGUGGCGAAGGCGGCUCACUGGCUCGAUACUGACGCUGAGGUGCGAAAGCGUGGGGAGCAAACAGGAUUAGAUACCCCAGUAGUCCC
rnacentral:rRNA from 1 species